rnacentral:lncRNA from 1 species
CUUGUUGUCGUGUUAUUUUGAAAUCAAUUGUUGUUUUUUUUUUUGAAAACGCGCCCUAAAGCUAUCCAAUUUAAACAGUUAAAAUAAGUAAUACCUAUCUUAGUAAUACAUAUUAAAACCAUCAAAAAUAAUUAAGCGGCCUUAUUACAUUUAAAAACCCAAACCUCAACGUAAAUAAUAGGAUGUCCAGUUCACCAGAAGAAAACCAAACUUUUAGAACGGGUGGCCACUCCAAAUUCCCUCACAGCUCCAAGCCCACUAUGGUUGGGGAUUUCCUGCGUGGAUGAAAAUAAAAUGGGUGAGUUUGGGGAAACUCAGUGUGUAAGGAAAACCCAUUCAAAGCCCAAGUCAGCUCAAGCCUAUUGGGCCUAAGCCUAUUCAGGUAACAGUGGUACUGGACUAGAGCCCUUUCAGAUUACAAUAAACUGGGUCUUAGCACCUUAUUUAGAUAACAGUAUGGCCCAUAGGCCCAUUUCAAAAUACAUGCAACAUCAAUAAACAUAUGCAAGCCCAUUUGGGGAGACUACUCAACCCACCAACCACUACACUCCACCCGUACCAGCCAUACACUCCAUGUGGGGAAUAGCUCAACCCACCCAGCCCAACACUCCACAGUUGCAGCCUUGCUGCUCAGUUAACAGUAAAUUGAGGCAAAGCCUCCAGUACGUGGACAAGCCACUUUCAGUACUUCCUCCGUCAAUAUCCCAAUCCCAUGCAUCAGAUAAUAACAACAUGGCAUGAAGUAAAUAGCAACAGUCAAACAUGCAUUUAGGUCAAUUUAACCCUAGGGGUAUUUCGGUAAUUUUGCACCCAGGGGUAUAACAGUAAUUUUCCAUACAUAGGGGUAUUAUAGUAAUUUAGCUACUUUUAGGGUUUUUCAUGCAUAUUCUGACUUUUCACGUACUAACAGAAUCACGUACCGAGGGUUCUUACCGAAUUGGGCCCGUUGGCCUAUCAUUCCAAUUUUGGCCCAUUAAGCCCAAAAAUAUCGAGGGCACAGAAAUCAUGCACUUUGCAGUCCAAAUUUUGCAGCUUACCAAAAACAUUAAUCGAUUUACCUCACGAGCAUUCGCACACUCGCAAAUCUACAAAAUACCGGUUUUCGGCAUUUCAACUUUUGCCGAUCUAGACUAAGAAAGAAGGUGUUAGUUACACACCUGUUUGCGAUGAUAUGCUGACGAGAUCCACACACGAACUGCCUACAAUUGGAUUACUAACACGUUAAUCUAACUAUUCAAAUACGAACUACGUAUUAACCCCUUACAAUAUUCGGCCAACCACACCUACAGAUCAUAGUAAGCUUAUAAGAAAUCAAUAAGCAACUCAUUAACAAAUUUUUGUCAAUGUUUACCACAUAAUCAUAAUUUCACUGCAAGCUGUCUUCCUGAGCAACAGUCACUAAAUCAUUUAUAACUAGAGCUACGAAACUCCAAAUCAAGUUCCGUUAAUUUUCCCUGAAAAUAUACUCAUAUAUCUUCUAUCCAUAAAAUUUUCAGAAAUUUUGGUUUGGCCAAUCAAUACCAUAUUUUUCUUAAAGUUUCCCAUGUUUCACUGAUUGACUAAUCUGACCACUCUUCAUUACGAAUAAAAUUUCUCAUUGUACAGAAUUCAAAAUAUGUUCUCGUUUAUUUCAUUUGAAACUAGACUCAUUAACCUUUAAUUACAUGAUUUAUUCAACUUCUAACUCAUCUCUCACAAUUUAUGGUGAUUUUCCAAAGUCACGUUACUGCUGCUGUCCCAAGCAGAUUUAUUACCAAAUUCACUCUUUCACACAUAACUUGCAUGCAUGUUAUUUAAACAUGUAUAUCACCAAUCAAUCAUCACAUAUCUAUGAUUUUACUUAAGUAUAAUCUCCAUUUCAUCAUUUUAAAGCACAACAUGUUAGCUGAUUUUUCCCUUUAGCAUCUAAGGCACAUGCAUGUUCAUUUGUUUGGCUCAACUUCACCUAUCUUCCAUUUUUCAUCAAAAGAACAUGAAACAACAACCAUUUCCUUCAUUUUAAUUCAUGACCAAAUGCUCACAACACAACCAAAAACCAAAAUAUGCUUCAAGAGUUAAGGUAGAAUCAAGAAGAACUCAUGAACAUCAAGAUAGAAGCAAACUACCAUGAACUUACCUUCAAUUUUCUUCCCCAAGUGACCGAACAUUCAAGAGCUUUC